UUCGCAGGCGGUCUCUUAAGUUAGAUGUGAAAGAUCACGGCUCAACCGUGGUAAGCAUUUAAAACUGGGAGACUUGAGUUAAGGAGAGGAAAGUGGAAUUCCUAGUGUAGCGGUGAAAUGCGUAGAUAUUAGGAGGAAUACCAGUGGCGAAGGCGACUUUCUGGACUUAUACUGACGCUGAGGAACGAAAGCGUGGGGAGCAAACA
rnacentral:rRNA from 1 species